AUUGCUGCAGUCUGGAUAAGGAAGUGAGAAGAGAGAUCUAAAAUGGAGUCUGAUAAAGUCACAAACACAGAAAGGAUAGGCUGUCUAGAGAUGGCUUUGAGUAACCCCAGCUGUAUGUCUUUGCUAAUAGAUAAUAUUAUUAGGCAAUGCCUCACAUACCUAUAGUUAGAAAACUGAAAAUGAUUAGACCAAACAAAGCCAUACCCUCUCUCCUCUCAAUUGCCAGAAAGGUCCGGUGAUGAAGAUAGCUGAUCUGUAAGGUGAACUGUAAAACCAUUGUAUUGUCGAAGGCUUUCAUGGCUGGAAUCACUAGAACCUUGUAAAACCAUUAUUCUUAAAUACCAGAUACAUUGGCAUCCAUAAGCCUAUGCUCUGUUUUCCCCUUUAUUUUAUUUUUUUGCCUCUGUAAGCCUUAAUAAAUUCCUUUUCUCUUGA